rnacentral:rRNA from 1 species
AGUCGAGCGCGCCCUUCGGGGUGAGCGGCGGACGGGUUAGUAACGCGUGGGAACGUGCCCUUCUCUAAGGAAUAGCCACUGGAAACGGUGAGUAAUACCUUAUACGCCCUUCGGGGGAAAGAUUUAUCGGAGAAGGAUCGGCCCGCGUUAGAUUAGAUAGUUGGUGGGGUAACGGCCUACCAAGUCUACGAUCUAUAGCUGGUUUUAGAGGAUGAUCAGCAACACUGGGACUGAGACACGGCCCAGACUCCUACGGGAGGCAGCAGUGGGGAAUCUUGGACAAUGGGCGCAAGCCUGAUCCAGCCAUGCCGCGUGAGUGAUGAAGGCCUUAGGGUCGUAAAGCUCUUUCGCCAGAGAUGAUAAUGACAGUAUCUGGUAAAGAAACCCCGGCUAACUCCGUGCCAGCAGCCGCGGUAAUACGGAGGGGGUUAGCGUUGUUCGGAAUUACUGGGCGUAAAGCGCACGUAGGCGGAUCAGAAAGUUGGGGGUGAAAUCCCAGGGCUCAACCCUGGAACUGCCUCCAAAACUCCUGGUCUUGAGUUCGAGAGAGGUGAGUGGAAUUCCGAGUGUAGAGGUGAAAUUCGUAGAUAUUCGGAGGAACACCAGUGGCGAAGGCGGCUCACUGGCUCGAUACUGACGCUGAGGUGCGAAAGUGUGGGGAGCAAACAGGAUUAGAUACCCUGGUAGUCCACACCGUAAACGAUGAAUGCCAGUCGUCAGCAAGCAUGCUUGUUGGUGACACACCUAACGGAUUAAGCAUUCCGCCUGGGGAGUACGGUCGCAAGAUUAAAACUCAAAGGAAUUGACGGGGGCCCGCACAAGCGGUGGAGCAUGUGGUUUAAUUCGAAGCAACGCGCAGAACCUUACCAACCCUUGACAUCCUCGGACCGCCAGAGAGAUCUGGUUUCCACUUCGGUGGCCGAGUGACAGGGUGCUGCAUGGCUUGUCGUCAGCUCGUGUCGUGAGAUGUUCGGUUAAGUCCGGCAACGAGCGCAACCCACAUCCUUAGUUGCCAGCAGUUCGGCUGGGCACUCUAGGGAAACUGCCCGUGAUAAGCGGGAGGAAGGUGUGGAUGACGUCAAGUCCUCAUGGCCCUUACGGGUUGGGCUACACACGUGCUACAAUGGCAGUGACAAUGGGUUAAUCCCAAAAAACUGUCUCAGUUCGGAUUGGGGUCUGCAACUCGACCCCAUGAAGUCGGAAUCGCUAGUAAUCGCGUAACAGCAUGACGCGGUGAAUACGUUCCCGGGCCUUGUACACACCGCCCGUCACACCAUGGGAGUUGGGUUUACCCGAAGGCCGUGCGCCAACCAGCAAUGGGGGCAG